AGAAAAAGUGAGCUCAGGUUCAUGAAUCUGAGGGUUCGUGCUAAUCCAAUUCUCUCUCCGUAGACCUCAGGCUCUGAGGUAGUGUCGUUCUUGAACUGGUAUCAAGAAGGAAAGGGUCAUUACUUGCCACUACCUUACAUUCCAUCAACACAAUCAGAUGCUGAUGCUGAAGUAAAAGGCCACUCCAAAUCUGGAAACUGCUGUUUCUGAAAGCACAAUAGAGGAUCCGAGACAAUGGUCAUUUGUGUGGCGUUUCUGACUCAUGUAACAUUCUUUGAUGCAGGAUUGUAUAACACACUUCUUCUGUCACUUGUGUGCCAUUUGCCAAGAAUACAGAGUGAUUCGAGAACGUAGAAACAGCUCAUAAGUCAUAUCCUCCUAACAUGAAGAUGGCAAUCACCGAUGCCCCCUUGGCUGAAACCAUGGAAUCAACCAACUAACUGAUCACUCUGAAGAAGACAUUUUUCUUGUCAUCGACUUUUGCAAUGUAUUUGAGAAGUUGAACGAGUAAAGUAAAACUUUCUAAGGUUAUAAGUUUAUAAAAGGUAAAAAAAGUUACAGCA